UACGAAGGGGGCUAGCGUUGCUCGGAAUUACUGGGCGUAAAGGGCGCGUAGGCGGGUCGUUAAGUUGGGGGUGAAAGCCCAGGGCUCAACCCUGGAAUUGCCUUCAAUACUGGCGACCUUGAGUAUGGCAGAGGUGUGUGGAACUCCGAGUGUAGAGGUGAAAUGCGUAGAGAUCGGGAGGAAUACCUAUGGCGAAAGCAGGCUUCUGGGCCAUCACUGACACUGAUCUGCGAAAGCUAGGGGAGCAAACAGG
rnacentral:rRNA from 1 species